AGCUGUUUUAGUUUAAUUAUAGAAUGUCUAAUUUGUAAUUAGUGGGUUUUAUCAGUUU
rnacentral:tRNA from 1 species